rnacentral:rRNA from 1 species
CAGUCGAACGGACUCAUAUUGAAACCUAGUGAUUUAUGAGUUAGUGGCGGACCGGUGAGUAACGCGUGGAUAACCUGCCGUAUACCGGGGGAUAACACUUAGAAAUAGGUGCUAAUACCGCAUAAGCGCACGGCUCCGCAUGGGGCAGUGUGAAAAACUCCGGUGGUAUACGAUGGAUCCGCGUCUGAUUAGCUAGUUGGCGGGGUAACGGCCCACCAAGGCAGCGAUCAGUAGCCGGCCUGAGAGGGUGGACGGCCACAUUGGGACUGAGACACGGCCCAAACUCCUACGGGAGGCAGCAGUGGGGAAUAUUGCACAAUGGGGGAAACCCUGAUGCAGCGACGCCGCGUGAGUGAAGAAGUAUCUCGGUACGCAAAGCUCUAUCAGCAGGGAAGAAAAUGACGGUACCUGACUAAGAAGCCCCGGCUAACUACGUGCCAGCAGCCGCGGUAAUACGUAGGGGGCAAGCGUUAUCCGGAUUUACUGGGUGUAAAGGGAGCGUAGACGGCAGCACAAGUCUGGAGUGAAAUCCCGGGGCUUAACCCCGGAACUGCUUUGGAAACUGUGCGGCUGGAGUGCAGGAGGGGUAAGCGGAAUUCCUAGUGUAGCGGUGAAAUGCGUAGAUAUUAGGAGGAACACCGGUGGCGAAGGCGGCUUACUGGACUGUAACUGACGUUGAGGCUCGAAAGCGUGGGGAGCAAACAGGAUUAGAUACCCUGGUAGUCCACGCCGUAAACGAUGAUUACUAGGUGUCGGGGGAUCAAGGUCCUCCGGUGCCGGCGCAAACGCAUUAAGUAAUCCACCUGGGGAGUACGUUCGCAAGAAUGAAACUCAAAGGAAUUGACGGGGAC